rnacentral:sRNA from 1 species
UGGAAAUAAUUAAUACCAUAACCAGAAUUUUCCAGUGGAGUUUUAGAUGUGCAGGUAUGCACAAAUAUAUACUGCUUAAGUGAAAAUACACUUUUAAUUACUGUAUUAAGGAUUUUAUUGCAAGUGUGCAGCACAGAUUGUACGUUAAAGAACAUAAAAACUUAGAGUGUGUAUUAUUGAGUUUUUUGUCUGAUUUUUUUUAUUCAUGUCAUUUGAACCAUUUUUACUUAUCUUCAUUCUUACUAUCUUAAUUUUUGACUCUUACACCAAUGUGUUUCAUUGAGCAAUUUGAGUUUUAUAAUGGAGGCAAAACUUGAUAUAGGGCUCGAUACAUUUUCUCUUAGAAUUUUUGAAUGGAAGUUCAAUGUUGAAGAUUAUAUAUACAAAUUAACGAUGUUUCCCAAGUAUUACAUUUUAUGUAAUACACAAACAAAAUGGUAUUAAUUAUUUUAGAUACUUUUUCUUGCAAGUGCUUUUUUAUGUUUCCAAGAUUAAUAUGCCCAUAUUUUUCAAGAGAAUUCCAUUUUAUAUUGUUUGACAUUCCAUUUAUAUCUAUUAUAGUUACAUGUACAUGUAUUUGUUAAUUUUUCUAAACAAAUGAUAAGAGUGUUGUUUAAAAUAUGUUCUCAUAUUUUAUUAAUACACCCACUAGUAUAACUUUUAACAACAAAAUAUUGAAUUUAAAAAAAAUAAAUUUAUAUGCACUUACAUGUUCAAUAUAUGUAAACUAGCUCAUUCGGCAAUACAAUGCAACAAUCUUUUUCAACAAAAUGGCAUAAUUGUAUUGCAUGUACCGGUACUUAAAAAUAAAUUGGUUUGAUGUGAUUUUAAUUU